rnacentral:lncRNA from 1 species
AAGAAGUCUCCGUUCUCCUCUCUCAGCCUACCCAGCUCUCAUCUAUACAGACCGGAGCAUAAUAAAAAAAAAAAAAAAAAAAACCAAAGCGGCUCUGCAAUCAGCCGGACCCACUCGCCUCUCCAGCAGCAUGGCUCGCUUGCCCUCCAAACGUGCUGGUCCAGCUGAUCAGAAGCUGGACACACACAGCCCAAGUGGAUGGCCGGGAUGUUAGUGGAGUCCCAGAUGAAAUGGAAGAAAGCCUUCCUCUCAAGCUGGAAACCGUGUUCUUCCUCCUCUUUACUACUCUUAGAGAUGUCAAAACAGCUUCCUCUUCUCAAGGCUUGGGAUGGCUAAGGACGGACCCACUGGACCUUUCAAAUUCCACUCCCCAAAGAGUUCGGAAAUCAGGAAGUAAAGACUCGGCAGCAGAAGAAAGCUCAGCCUUGGUUUUCACGGUUGCCCGGGAGGUAGCUCAAUGGAAGGGCCUUCCGGCAGAAAGGGAACUGGGCCGGUCAGACUUCGAGGAGGGACCCAUUGAGUCUGCAGUAUGGCCUCACCUGUUUGGCCCUUAGUUUGCUCAUGUGCAAACAAGGUCUCUGGACUAAUCCAAUGAAUGAAUCCCUGCAAAUCUUCAGUGGAAUACGGCAUGCACAACACAGG